rnacentral:rRNA from 1 species
AUACGGAGGGUGCAAGCGUUACUCGGAAUCACUGGGCGUAAAGCGCGCGCAGGCGGCUAUUUAAGUUGGAUGUGAAAGCCUACGGCUCAACCGUAGAACUGCAUCCAAAACUAUUUAGCUAGAGUGUGGGCGAGGAAGAUGGAAUUAGUUGUGUAGGGGUAAAAUCCGUAGAGAUAACUAGGAAUACCAAAAGCGAAGGCAAUCUUCUGGAACACUACUGACUCUGAGGCGCGAAAGCGUGGGGAGCAAACAGGAUUAGAAACCCUAGUAGUCC